rnacentral:lncRNA from 13 species
GUUCAAUUACAACCUACAUUUUCGGCAAACAUCUAUGAUUACUCAAGUAAGUGGAUAUGCAUUAAAAAAAUAAAGAUAUAUGAAAAUAAAGUAUGUUUUCUAUUUUAUUCAAUGACUUAUAUAAUGUGCUGUUAAAAAAAAACUGGUAAUCUUUUCAUUUAGGCACAGUUCCUUUCUACUGUAAUUCGGUGACCAUACUGCCCAAAGUUCCUGAUAAAAACAUGAAAGUUUCAGUGAAUGAAGAAAGUGAUUCCCAACCUUCUCCAUUGACUGUUGGAGAAACUGUCGUCAGUAUCAAGGUCUUGUCAGCAGAUGGCAGCAAUUCUCAGAUGUACUAUGUGUUGGUGAUGCGAGAGCAGAUUCCCAUGGCUGUGUCUUUCAGUGAUGUGAAAGAGCAGGUCUCCUAUGAGUGCCCUGUCACUCUGACGGCCCUCUACAGACCCAUAUCCAUCAACCAGAGUGAUCCACAGCACCUGUUCUCAGCCCCCUACAUUGACAUGCUGGCGAGAAGGUCGAAGGUCGACCCGCUAAACGAGUGUCCCCUCGGAGACAGCUGGAAGGUUCUGGAACACGACCUGGAUAAGACCAUGUCUUCUGCGCUGGUCAAGUGCUUCUUUGCAUACCGAGGAUGUGAGAGUGUGGUGAAACUGGCUGAAGUGGGGUCACAUGCACUGGAGUGUCCACACAAACCCUCAACGGACCUGGACCCAAAGGACGUCACUGAGACGAGCUGGUACAAGAAGCAUUUUGCUGCAUCCUCGACCUGCUUGGAGAUAGAAACCAAACACACUUUGGAGGUGCGUAACUGGGAGAAGAGACUACAAAAGGCAAUAGGACAGGAUAGUGUUGAUAAUCUGUGUUCCCUGGCCCAGGACAAUCUGAAACUCUACAGAGAGCGUCUGCCCAAACCAGGUGACCUGCUGCAGUAUGAGAAUGGUCAGUCUCCUCUGGACUGUCUGGAGCAGGCUGCAGUCUAUUAUGCCUCAGCCAUCAAGCUGAAGCCCCGAGACCCCAGACUCCACUUCCUCCUGGGGCUGGCCCUGGAGGAGCAACACUAUGCAGCAGAGAUGUACGGACUGAGGAGGAAAGUAAGGAAGCCUUGGCCAAGUCAGAAAGGCUCCUGCCCUAUGGGCCAAUCUCCUAAUUCUGUAGCGUGAAACAGCUUGAUGUACAGCCCCCUGGACAGGACGCUAGUCUAUCGCAUGGCCAAACCACUUAUUGUUGAAUUUGCGAUUUCCAACUUGUUGUGUAAUGUUUAUAUCCAAUGGCCGAUGACCAUCUAUAAUUUCGCUUCCUUAUUUCUCUAUAUAUGACAAUGAUUAAAAAGGAUUUGCCAGUAGAUUGUCGACUUGAUUCAUGAUGAUGACUGCUAGCUAAGAUUUUGAAAGUAUGAUGUUGACAUGAUCAGUCCAAUCAAAGCUACUGUACAUAUAACGUGAAUUGACAUCAUUUUAUCUGUGGCCAAUGACCUUGAGCCUUCUUGGAUGGGCACUUCUAACUCUAUGGCAGCACCCAAGUGGCUAGAAUUUUCGAGCUCUACCCUUAGACUUAGCGGUGACGUUGUUUCCCCAUGAGUGACAGAACACUGAGCCAAUCACGGCACAACGUUCCGUAUUUUCUGCUGGCUUGCCCCACGACCACAGAAAGCACUGAGCUGGACUGAAACACCUGCAUUUUGGGGUUGCCUUACUCAAGAAAACAAAAAAGAGACCAUGUUUGCAUGGGGCUUCAUUAACUCAAUUAUAUAUAUAUUUUUUACAUUGUUUGCAAAAUGAUGACACGUAUUAAUGCUAAAAUAACAUGCAAAACAGGUAAGCCCCCCCCAAAAAUGUGGGGCUCGAAACAGGCUCUGCCUGCCCUGAAUAACGGGUUGCCACUGACUGAAAGUAAUCAGAUUACACCACUGAGUUUAAUUCAUCCAAACGUUAGGUUACUGAUUACUAUUUUGGACAAGUAACUA